rnacentral:rRNA from 1 species
GUGAGGAAUAUUGCGCAAUGGAGGCAACUCUGACGCAGCCAUGCCGCGUGCAGGAAGAAGGCGCUACGCGUUGUAAACUGCUUUUAACCGGGAAGAAACCCCAGGACGUGUCCUGGGUUGACGGUACCGGAGGAAUAAGCACCGGCUAACUUCGUGCCAGCGGCCGCGGUAAUACGAAGGGUGCAAGCGUUAUCCGGAUUCAUUGGGUUUAAACGGUGCGUAGGCGGAGCGUUAAGUCAGUGGUGAAAUCCUGCAGCUUAACUGUAGACUUGCCAUUGAUACUGGCGCUCUUGAGUGCGCUUGAAGUGGGCGGAAUGUGCCGUGUAGCGGUGAAAUGCUUAGAUAUGGCACAGAACACCAAUUGCGAAGGCAGCUCACUAAGGCGAUACUGACGCUGGGGCACGAAAGCGUGGGGAUCGAACAGGAUUAGAAACCCGGGUAGUCC